GUUGGCUAGUGUAUAAAAACAACAAAUGUUCAAAAAAAAUCCGUUAUUGUGACGCCUUUGUGCGAUAUUGAAAACGAAUCGAACAAUUUGAAGGGCGCAAGGGAAAACAGUAGUAGGUAGUCCAGGAAAAUUGCACCAAAGCAAAACUUCUCUACAGCUACAUGACUACAUUUUGUUUUGAUCAGUACAUUCAAUAUUUUACCAUCAAUAAUGUAACCUAUUCAACUGAAACCUUUUUCACCGAAUAGAACUCAGCCUUUGAUAAUAGUUCUGAAGCACCAUUGAAUAUUGGGUACCAUUAGGUAAAAAAAUUGUUUCAGUUAGUUAGGUAAUAUAAAUGAUGUUAAAAUACUGGAUGUACUAGUUAAGAAUUGAACAAAUGGACUAAAUACUGCUUUUCUUACACUGGGCCCUUCAUUCCAAAUAAACACAAUUGUUCUUGUUUAAGUGUUUAAGGUUUAAGAUGUUGGAUAAUGUUUUGG